CAGAAUACUUGUUAAUUGGUGGAGAAAAGUGCCUUUUUCUUAUAUAUUGUGCUCGGAAAUUGUGUUUAGUACCCCACCGGACUCUUAAAGAGGAUAUAUCGUCAUUACGAUGCAAAGGUAGAGUCUUUUAUCCAGUGCCACGGAUGAAAACCACCCUGCCAGCGAAGAAGAAGAUAAUGGAAUUCUUGAUUUAGAAGGCAGUCUUCGAAAAAAAAAUGGAGGUGCAUAGAAGAGGUCAAAGAAACAGAGACUAAUGCAGAAAAGUUAUACAAUUGUUAAAAAGAGGACAAUCAACAAUAAUUUUUCAUUCGACUCCCCUUAAAAGUCCCAGUGUUGAAACAGGAAUAACAGCAUAUUAUUUUAUUCCAGAAUUAUUGAUGCUAAUGAGAACUGCUCACGUGAUUUGUGAUACUUAACAAUCCACAAACAGAUUGAACCAUUUUAAAACCAACUGAAAUAGUUUAAAUGAACAUUUAAUUUUCGUAUAGCGUAAUACACAGGAUCUCGCGCUUUUUUCUCAAAAUUCGUCGUUUUUCGUGACUUUACGCGCGUGUCGCGACCGGGCAUGGACGUAGGGUAAGGCCUUCCAGUCAUGUCGGGCGUAAAAGUCUAUCAUGCCCUAAGAAUAUACACCCUGAGCUGUGCCAGCCAAACGAGUGUCUUUCGAGACACGCGAUUGGGGGGCGUGAUCUGUCCAUUCCGGAUGGUUCUGUGUAUCGGGUGAUGGAACACAAUGCCGGGAUCAAUAGAACAGGCUGGAACUCUAAGAACAGGAUGCUGAACAGGAAAAUUGCACUAGAUUUGGACAAGAAGAUUGGAAAAGAACAGAAAUUUAUUAUUUUUAUGCAUGCAGAUGAAUGCGAAAUAUUUUUGUAGAAUUUGAAGCAUCUUCUAAGGCUUUACACAGCAUUUUAAGGUCACACUUUUUUAUUUCCGUUCAUAUACCUUCUUUGUUUCGAAUCAUAUAUAAUCUUUUGUAUUUCUUGUCGUUUGUUAAAAUCUUAGAGUUAAAAUCACAAGAAAUAACAUUUUUAAAUGUUUUCCAGGUGUCUAUUUCUCAAAAUGAUUUA